UGGGGAAUCUUGCACAAUGGGGGCAACCCUGAUGCAGCGACGCCGCGUGAGCGAUGAAGCCCUUCGGGGCGUAAAGCUCUUUCGACCGGAACGAUAAUGACGGUACCGGGAGAAGAAGCUGCGGCUAACUACGUGCCAGCAGCCGCGGUAAUACGUAGGCAGCAAGCGUUGUUCGGAGUUACUGGGCGUAACGAGUGCGUAGGCGGUUUUCUAAGUUCGGUGUGAAAUCUCCCGGCUUAACUGGGAGGGUGCGCCGAAGACUGGGAAGCUGGAGUGUGGGAAAGGCAGGCGGAAUUCCUGGUGUAGCGGUGAAAUGCGUAGAUAUCAGGAGGAACACCGGCGGUGUAGACGGCUUGCUAGACCAUAACUGACGCUGAGGCACGAAAGCGUGGGUAGCAAACA
rnacentral:rRNA from 1 species